CUCAAGAGCGGGGUGGGAAUCAGGGUACCCUAGUGAGUGGCAGAGGUGAAGGAGAGGUGAAGGACCUCGCGAGGAGUGAGCAUUGCUCCAUGACUGGGAGGUGCUGGACGUGGGUUCCAGAGGGCCAAUCUAAGGAGGAAGGAGUGUGAUCUAGAGAAAAUCCAAGUAGCCCAACGCCCUCCAUCACUUCUCUCUGGACCCUCCCCUGUAUACGUGAGGUUGCCGAAGGAGCAGAAAUGGCUGCGAAGUUGUGGAAGAGUUGGUGAUAUAUGGACUAGACAAUAUUGCAGACAGGUGAAUUCAGGACUGGCUGUAUGUAGCUUCCUAUUGCAGAAGAGAAAACAGCAAAAUAACUUAUCCAUGGUCAUAGCUAGUAAUUAUCUGAG
rnacentral:lncRNA from 1 species